GAUAAACGCUGGCGGCAGGCCUAACACAUGCAAGUCGAACGAACCCUUCGGGGUUAGUGGCGGACGGGUGAGUAACACGUGGGAACGUGCCUUUAGGUUCGGAAUAACUCAGGGAAACUUGUGCUAAUACCGAAUGUGCCCUUCGGGGGAAAGAUUUAUCGCCUUUAGAGCGGCCCGCGUCUGAUUAGCUAGUUGGUGAGGUAACGGCUCACCAAGGCGACGAUCAGUAGCUGGUCUGAGAGGAUGACCAGCCACACUGGGACUGAGACACGGCCCAGACUCCUACGGGAGGCAGCAGUGGGGAAUCUUGCGCAAUGGGCGAAAGCCUGACGCAGCCAUGCCGCGUGAAUGAUGAAGGUCUUAGGAUUGUAAAAUUCUUUCACCGGGGACGAUAAUGACGGUACCCGGAGAAGAAGCCCCGGCUAACUUCGUGCCAGCAGCCGCCGUAACAC
rnacentral:rRNA from 1 species